rnacentral:rRNA from 1 species
AGUGAACGCUGGCGGUAGGACUAACACAUGCAAGUCGAACGGCAGCACAGUAAGAGCUUGCUCUUACGGGUGGCGAGUGGCGGACGGGUGAGGCAUACAUCGGAAUCUACUUUUUCGUGGGGGAUAACGUGGGGAAACUUACGCUAAUACCGCAUACGACCUACGGGUGAAAGCAGUGGAUCUUCGGACCUUGCGCGAUUGAAUUAGCCGAUGUCGGAUUAGCUAGUUGGCGGGGUAAAGGCCCACCAAGGCGACGAUCCGUAGCUGGUCUGAGAGGAUGAUCAGCCACACUGGAACUGAGACACGGUCCAGACUCCUACGGGAGGCAGCAGUGGGGAAUAUUGGACAAUGGGCGCAAGCCUGAUCCAGCCAUACCGCGUGGGUGAAGAAGGCCUUCGGGUUGUAAAGCCCUUUUGUUGGGAAAGAAAAGAAGCAGGUUAAUACCCCGCUGUUCUGACGGUACCCAAAGAAUAAGCACCGGCUAACUUCGUG